AAGUGGAGCAAUCCAUGAGUAAAGUGGCGUACGGGUGAGUAACACGUGGAUCAUCAACCUUCUAGUGGGGAAUACCCCCGGGAAACUGGGGACAAUACCGCAUGAGCUCGAAAGAGGAAAGCAGCAAUGCGCUGGAAGAGGAGUCCGCGGCCGAUUAGCUAGUUGGCGGGGUAACGGCCCACCAAGGCGAAGAUCGGUAGCCGGCCUGAGAGGGCACACGGCCACACUGACACUGAAACACGGGCCAGACUCCUACGGGAGGCAGCAGUGGGGAAUCUUGCACAAUGGAGGAAACUCUGAUGCAGCGACGCCGCGUGAGCGAUGAAGCCCCUCGGG
rnacentral:rRNA from 1 species